rnacentral:snRNA from 1 species
GGAUGUGAGGCAAUCUGGUUGCGAUAUCCGUCACCCUACUGAUUGCCAACAUUGAUUUGGCUGAUCUGGGUGGCUAGGCGGGUGUCCCCUUCCUCCCUCACCUCUCAUGUUCAUCUCUUCGGAAGCUGCAUGCAAGGUCAAAGAGGACAGCCUUCCCCCAAUAGAGAAGGACCUUCCCCCAAUAGAAGAGGACCUUCCCCCAAUACGGGAAGACCCGUCUUCAGUCAAGGGUGUAUGAGUAGCUGAGCUCCCCUACUAGAACUUUCAUACAAGUUCUCAAGAAAUAUAUCUCAGGGCGGUGAUGGCACAUGCCUUUAAUCCCCGUACUUGGGAGGCAGAGCCAGG